rnacentral:tRNA from 1 species
GGACAUAGCUCAGUUGGUAAAGUGCUUGCCUUGCAUGCACAAGGCCCUGGGUUCAGUCCCCAGUACCA